AUGAUUUAUUCAUUGCUUUUUUUUUGCUCCGCAGCUCGAGAUAGAAAGCAAGCCGUCAUGCAGCGGAUUCCUGUCUCGACCGCCCCCCCGGAGCCUCACGGUACCAUGAGCGCAUCAGCCGCUUGGACCUCAAUUGACAAAGGCGAACUGGUCCACAGUCACACGCCAGAAGGCGAUCGUCACAUAGGAGGCACUGGAUUAAGGACGCCAGCCGUUUGCUGCGGUCAAUUGAAAGUGUUUUAUAGCGUAUUGCUGCAGUUAGUUUACCUUGUUCCUAAUAAUUUUAUGAUUCAUUGUUUUAUUAUUAUAUACAUGCGGCAUAUUUUAUGUUUUGUUCUUGGUUACAAAUGUCUAACAUUUUUGUCUUAAAGACAUCUAAUAAACUCCAACCACCACCACUGAAAUGAGUUUGGUUGUCUUUCUUUAAUUUGUGGGGAAUUAAAUGCAAAAGUUUAUAAGCAAACGGUAACAUUCUGGCAUUUAUACCACAAAAACAGUAAUCCUAUGGUAACAAACUGUAAUCCAAUAUACAGCAACAUACCGUAUAUUACGGUAGGGCACUGUAAAUAAAACAGUAAGUUGCUAGCGUCGACUGCCAGUAAAUCACAGUUAAUUCAUAGUAAAAUUGGUUCAAGUUUACGGUAAAAUACAGUAAUCCAUCAUACGGUAACAUAUUGUAUUCUACGGCAGUGUACCAUAAAAAACAGUAAAAUAAUGGUAUCCGCUGCCAUGAAAUGGAUUACAGUAAAAUUGGCGUGAACUUUACAGUCAAUUAACGGUAAAAUACUGGAAACAUAGGGCAAAACGGUAAUAUACUGUAAAAUAACGGUACAUUAAUGGCGUCCUUGCUGCCCGUAAGUUACCGUUAAUUUACGGUGACAUUUUUUAGAGUGCAGGCCUGUAAAGGUCACCCAGCAGUGCAACAAUGGUUAAUAAUGAUUAGGGUUUAAUUAAACAUCACACCAUCACCAGUGACAGUCGGGGUCUAGUGGCGUGCCGAAGGACACGCUGACAUGUAAACUGCAGAGGCCAUGGAUAAGAUUCCUCACACGCUCUACAUCUCAUUCAAACCAUUGGCUUGGUUUAAAGAGGGAGUGUAAACAGUACAUGUAUUGAUGCACUAUUACCUUUAAUGGACUCAGAGUUCUGUAUGAAAUCCUUUUUAUUUUUCAUGAGAAAUAUACAGACAAAUUGUUAUUGGCAAGCAUUUUUCCAAGGUUGAAAAUAACCUGAAAGAAAUACAUUUAUUGCCACUGAGCAGCCUCAGAUUGAUCAGAACAUUAGACCCACACAAGCCCUGUGGAUAAUUGGCAAUCUACCGUAGCUUGCAAUAUUCUGGCAGUCAUUGAAUGACACCACCAAAGGCAUCUUCAAGCAAGAUCUUUAGUUGUGUCUCUCUUCUUGAAAAAGGGGAUUGCAUCUUUAUUUUGAGGAUUUGCUGCUCCAGAAUUGAAAAGUUAUUUUUGGUAGACGCAUGUUAGAGUUGUUACUGUCUCUCUCUGAGAUUUGAAGAUUAUUUUAUAUUUCCUGAUGAAUGUCAGUUUAAUUUCCCUUGAUUCAAGCCUCAACGAGCACCUUCUCAUUGCUGAAAUGUGUCACCAGAGAAAGCAGCGAUAAUUAAAUAUUCUCUCAUUGUCAAUUGUGGUGGCAAUACGACACCUUAUUUUGCGGGAUAUAAACCUGCUACGACCUCAAUUAUGUUUGAUUGGAUUAUGUUCACAGGCAAGAAAUUUAAUUUGAAUAAAUGAAAUGUGUUAAAACUGCUAUUAACAAUAGGCUUUAUUUACCAUUAAAGGCUCAAAUUAAUGCAAUCAGUUCUUCCCAAAGCUAAUGCAAGUUUUGUGCUGAGCGGGCAUAUUGACUUUGAGUAGUGAAGUUGCUUUUCCAGUUUGUAUGUACGCACACACACACACACACACACACACACACACACACACACACACACACAGUGAGACAGGAUCAAGUACGGGAUCAACACUGCGUGUUGUCAGUAUUUCAAAUAAAUUAUACAUUGCUUUACAGCUUCCUUAGUUAGAAAAAGUGAUCAAUAAUUCAAAAGACAUAUAGAAUCACAGCAAUGUAGAGGGAGAUUUUAUAUUUUGUGAGUGUUGAGUGAGUGUGCCUAUCUGUGUCGUCACAAACUUGUGUAAUUGUGUGAUUAAACGUUGCUAUGUUUUCACAGCUUUACAGAGUUCAUCUUAAUAAUGAUUUGAAUGCGUCCGUUCUCUACAUUCUAACACAUGGAUGUGGUUUAAUCUGCAGCAGAAUAUGAAUAUGGGUUAUAAAACAAUUGAAAUUGAUCGGACUCCACAUGCACAUCCUGUGCACACCUUUGUGUAGAGAAUGAAAGUCUAAAUGCUGAACAAUGGAAUUCAGACCUCUGCUGGAAUGAACCUUGACAGUGUUCCAGCUGGCUGUCACAUCUAAUGAUUUGAUCAAUGAUAACCUUCUCAGCAAAAAGAAAAUUAUCACAGGCUGACUUAUACAUGCUGCAGUUCAGUGAAGGACGUCUAUUUUCUAUACUAAAGAUACCAACAGGGAGGAAGGUUUUAAAUCUCUUUUAAUCACCUUUUGGGGGGAAUAUAUAGUAGAAUGGGUUAACCCUUAAUUCUGCCUCAAGCUACAAUAGGGACUUUACCCUCAACUUUAUCAAUAAUAACAUUAAAAAAAACGUUGAAUUAUUACUGAUCCUUGGUUGCCAAAUUGCUCUUUUAAUGUAAAGUAACGGUAACAUUCCCUUUGAAUCAUGAGUCUGAUUAACCAACUCCUCAGUCAUUUCCUUCAUACCACGGAAGAACUUAAUCAGGACAAGCUCGGAUCAUCCGGAGAUUAUUAUAGACAGCAGGCAAUCAGUCUAGUGUUCACAGGUUCUUCAGGUACCCUUUAUGUAACACAAGUCUGUCCAUGUGUGCGCUGGAAUAUCCGCAAUGGAUCAGUGUGAUUGUGAAAUACCCAUGUUAUUCAUCAAAGUACAUUUCCUAUCAAACAAAUAGACACAAUUACUACUGAGCUUUUUGGUUGUGUUAUCUUCUCUGGAUGGAUUUGUCUUGUAUCAACGUGUUCGACUUCUAUAAAGAGAGGUAAUUCCCUUAAGUGACAAUCUGUUCCACAACCUGUUUGAUCUUGUUUACUUGCUAUCUCGAAAAGCCUUCAAAAAAAAUAGGAUCUUCAUCCCGUCCUUAACAAACAAACAAAGGGAGGGACGUUUGUCCCUUAAAUCAGGAGACAAAAUGUCUCAAUUAUCUGCCGUUUUAUUAGAAAAUUGUGCCGCCAUCGUCGUGUUUCGACCACUGACACCAGCUGAUGUCUUGAUUAUUAUAGAGAUGGAACAGCAGAGUAAUGGAGGCAUUCUAUUGCAAUUGGGGCAAAUGUUUAAUGUGUUGAAAAGCUGCGGUUGUCUGAAUAAUUAUUCUAAUAAUAUAAUAAGAAUAAUUCUAUUUGGAAAAGCUCUAAUCUGCACUAAUCUCUCAUGUAAUGCUGUAGUUUGUGGGGAAACUGAAACUUUAAACAAGCCCCCCCCCCCGCUGACUGCAGAUACAUUUGACUACAAUAUUUUCUUGAACC
ensembl:lncRNA